UUGACCUCAAAUCAGGUAGGACUACCCGCUGAACUUAAGCAUAU
rnacentral:rRNA from 64 species